rnacentral:rRNA from 1 species
AUGCUCAGCAAGACAGCGGCGAGCGGCAAGGGUCAAUUCGGUGACCUCCCUGACGACCUCCUUCGGCACGUGCUGUCCUUUCUGCCUGCGGCUGAUGCCCUGCAGACUUGCGUGCUCGACACCGGGUGGCGUGACCAUUGGAGGCGCACCACCAGCCUGCCACUCAUCUUUGACCAGUCGAGUUUCCCGAGCUCCGAACGUUUCAAACAGCUGGUGAACCUCUUCAUCCACCUCCGCGGGGACUCACCUCUCGACAAGUGCAAGAUCGUUGGCUGUCUUGAUGAUGAUGAUGAUGAGCGCACAUACACAAACACCAUGCUGUUGAUCCAGUACGCUCUAAAGUGCCAAGUUAAGGAGCUCCUGCUCAGUGUUGCUACUGAAGAAGAUGAUGAUAAUGACGUCGAGUAUGACCCACUAGUACUCGAUGUGCCUCUCAUCUCCCAGCACUUGAAGAUCCUACACCUUAAACGGUUUAUCUAUAGAUGGGAUUUAGAAUGCUGCCCCAUAUUUGACAAACUAAAGACUCUAUCACUCAAUGAGUGGUUUACGACUAUUGACCUACUGUGCAUUCUCCAACACUCUCCAGUUCUUGAGGUGCUCACUCUUCAGCUUGGUAGCACUGAGAAAUUCGUUAGAGCAACAGGAGCAGAAGAAAAGAUAGAACAAUCAUUUGUAUGCUCCCACCUUAAGGUUGUCAACAUUGAAUGUAGAAAGGUCGAUGAGGGAGUUCACAAAAUUCUGAAGUUCUUGAGUACAUGUGGCAUACUUCGUGAUCAAAUUAGCAUCACUCAUACUGUUUCAGUUUCCAGAAGCCUAUGCGUCCCUUGCCUCGGUCUACCGCAGAACCAGGCGUCCCCCUGA